CGUAUUUAUGAAUGCAGUCUGUGAACUUAUUUAUGAAUGCAAAAACAUAUACAUUUGCCAUGUACUGUAGGCUUUUAAGAAGCAAGCAUUCCAUAGCAUCAUACAACAUCUAAUUAAUAUCUUAUGCAGUGUGGCUUCUUAAGAAAAGUAAUCUUGUUUCAAAGACUUUUAGAUACUUGUAAAGAAAUUACUAAUUAACUUUUUUUCUUUUCUUUUUUUUGGCAGUGCAAGAUUCACACAUUUCAAGAUCUUUCAAUAAGAGAAUGGGAGCUGAUGAACAUUCAAGAUUGAUCCACAAACAAAAUGGAUGUUGUUUAAAUGGAAAACAUUAUCAUAUCCAAGAACUGAAAACUUUUUCAACAUUGUGUCAUCACUCAGAAAGAAAUGCUUCACCAUCAAACUGUCUCUUCACCUCAUCUCCUCCUGGAAUGGCUUACCUUCUGACACAAAGCACUGGCAGGGCAGAGCAUGAAUGACUCUGGAGGUGAUUGACACAGGAAGAAUGUGUGACGGAAAUGAAAUUUCAUUUGGGAUGACGCUCUUUUCAUGAAAUCGCUUUUUAAGGACUACAACAAACGAACUUCUUCCCAGCACUGAAAGAAAACCCAAUGACACAAUGUCCUCAAAACAAAGGACUUGUUUUCAGUGGUUGUGUUGGUUGAAUCUCCUACUCUGAUGAGGCCUGAGAUCAUUAUCUGAAGCAGAUUCAGGCCGGCUCUGAGAAAUGCCCUGCAGCUUUUUUGUAUUACGAUCUAAAGAGGCCCACAAUGUGCACUGACUUUUGCCAGCAAUGGGAGUUCAGACAUGCUCAGAGGCUUUAACAACCUCUCCCGUCGACCCCCACAGGCAUGCUGCUGCUCAGUUUGCUGCGUAAACGUGUCUCACCUAGCGAAUGAGUGUGCUUUUUUGUGUUAAUGAAGAUGGCCUCUCUUCCACUGGGUGGAGCGUGAAUGCUCUACAGUGCGUUCUUGCUGACUGAUAAUGGAAUUGAUUGUGACAGCGUUUUGUCUGUCAGGAUAAUUACAAGGCUCGAUGCUCAGUGACUGCAUUGCUGCAUGGAGAUCUGGCCAAUCCUCACUGGCCAAUGAGCUUCAUGCUUUCACAAUCCAGUGACUGUGAUAGUAUUACGAUAGUAGAAAAGCCCUCUGAUGCACAUCAGGGACUUCAGCCUCUUUAUCAUGGUGGAAAGACAGGGAUCCUUUAUUCCAUAUGCAUUGCAUUUUAAUCCUGGCCAAUAAUAACAUGUGUACCACAUUAAUGUAUUUACAUGUUCAAAUGUUUGUGGUCAGUAAGAGAUUUUCUUUUUAAGAAAUUAAUACUUUUAUUCAGCUAGCAUGCAUUAAAGGGAUAGUUCACCUAAAAAUUAAAAUUUGCUGUUAGUUUACUUACCCUCAGGCCAUUCAAGAUUACUUUUUUCUUCAGUAGAACAGUAAAGAAAGUUUUUAGCUGAAACCAUGGCAGAGACGACAGAUCACGCAUCAUGUUAGUUUUCUUUAUUUAACAUUUUGUUUUUACUGUGAGUGCACGCAAAUAAAAGUAGACAUUCUGUAGUUUCAAUUGAUGUAUUACUUGUAUCUGUAUGACAAAAAAUGAUGGAGUAUUUUAAGUCGAUUUUGCUGCUAUGUGAAGAAAAUCCAGCAAAACGUGCCAGCGUUAAAGAUGCAAUUAUGACAAAGUGUCAGGACACAGACGGAGGCAGAUGGGUAAGUGUACACAGAUGUUUAUUAAGACAGAGGCACGAACACAGGGAUAGUUGAAUGCAGGUGAGUAGA